rnacentral:rRNA from 1 species
UGGGGAAUAUUGGACAAUGGGCGAAAGCCUGAUCCAGCCAUGCCGCGUGUGUGAAGAAGGUCUUCGGAUUGUAAAGCACUUUAAGUUGGGAGGAAGGGCAUUAACCUAAUACGUUAGUGUUUUGACGUUACCGACAGAAUAAGCACCGGCUAACUCUGUGCCAGCAGCCGCGGUAAUACAGAGGGGGCAAGAGUUAAUCGGAAUUACUGGGCGUAAAGCGCGCGUAGGUGGUUUGUUAAGUUGGAUGUGAAAUCCCCGGGCUCAACCUGGGAACUGCAUUCAAAACUGACUGACUAGAGUAUGGUAGAGGGUGGUGGAAUUUCCUGUGUAGCGGUGAAAUGCGUAGAUAUAGGAAGGAACACCAGUGGCGAAGGCGACCACCUGGACUAAUACUGACACUGAGGUGCGAAAGCGUGGGGAGCAAACA